rnacentral:rRNA from 1 species
CAAUAGCGUAUAUUAAAGUUGUUGCAGUUAAAAAGCUCGUAGUUGGAUUUCUGGUGGGAGCGAUCGGUCUGGCGCUUAGCGCGAGUACUUGCAUCGUCUCCGGCCAUCCUUGGGGAAAGUCUGUCUGGCAUUAAGUUGUCGGGCAGAGGAUCCUCAUCGUUUACUGUGAAAAAAUUAGAGUGUUCAAAGCAGGCUUAUGCCGUUGAAUAUAUUAGCAUGGAAUAAUAAGAUAGGACUUCGGUACUAUUUUGUUGGUUUGCGCACCAAAGUAAUGAUUAAUAGGGACAGUUGGGGGUAUUCGUAUUCCGUUGUCAGAGGUGAAAUUCUUGGAUUUACGGAAGACGAACUACUGCGAAAGCAUUUACCAAGGAUGUUUUCAUUAA